GGAGCGUGAUGGGGGGACGCAUAGGGUUAAGCGAGCUAGCUGAUGGAAGCGCUAGUCUAAGGGCGUAGAUUGGAGGGAAGGCAAAUCCACCUCUGUAUUUGAAACCCAAACAGGCUCUUUGAGUCCUUUUAGGACAAAGGGAGAAUCGCUGAUACCGUCGUGCCAAGAAAAGCCUCUAAGCAUAUCCAUAGUCGUCCGUACCGCAAACCGACACAGGUAGAUGAGAUGAGUAUUCUAAGGCGCGUGAAAGAACUCUGGUUAAGGAACUCUGCAAACUAGCACCGUAAGUUCGCGAUAAGGUGUGCCGCAGCAAUGCGGUCUCAGCAAAGAGUCCCUCCCGACUGUUUACCAAAAACACAGCACUUUGCCAACUCGUAAGAGGAAGUAUAAGGUGUGACGCCUGCCCGGUGCUCGAAGGUUAAGAGGAUGCGUCAGUCGCAAGAUGAAGCGUUGAAUUGAAGCCCGAGUAAACGGCGGCCGUAACUAUAACGGUCCUAAGGUAGCGAAAUUCCUUGUCGGUUAAAUACCGACCUGCAUGAAUGGCGUAACGAGAUGGGAGCUGUCUCAACCAGAGAUUCAGUGAAAUUGUAGUGGAGGUGAAAAUUCCUCCUACCCGCGGCAAGACGGAGAGACCCCGUGGACCUUUACUACAACUUAGCACUGCUAAUGGGAAUAUCAUGCGCAGG
rnacentral:rRNA from 1 species